rnacentral:rRNA from 1 species
AUUGAACGCUGGCGGCAUGCCUUACACAUGCAAGUCGAACGGUAACAGGUCUUCGGAUGCUGACGAGUGGCGAACGGGUGAGUAAUACAUCGGAACGUGCCUAGUAGGGGGGGAUAACUACUCGAAAGAGUGGCUAAUACCGCAUGAGAUCUAUGGAUGAAAGCAGGGGAUCGCAAGACCUUGUGCUACUAGAGCGGCCGAUGGCAGAUUAGGUAGUUGGUGGGAUAAAAGCUUACCAAGCCGACGAUCUGUAGCUGGUCUGAGAGGACGAUCAGCCACACUGGGACUGAGACACGGCCCAGACUCCUACGGGAGGCAGCAGUGGGGAAUUUUGGACAAUGGGCGCAAGCCUGAUCCAGCAAUGCCGCGUGCAGGAUGAAGGCCUUCGGGUUGUAAACUGCUUUUGUACGGAACGAAAAGCCCUGGGUUAAUACCCUGGGGUCAUGACGGUACCGUAAGAAUAAGCACCGGCUAACUACGUGCCAGCCGCCGCUGUAAAAC